GAUGAACGCUGGCGGCGUGCCUAAUACAUGCAAGUCGAGCGAACGGACGAGAAGCUUGCUUCUCUGAUGUUAGCGGCGGACGGGUGAGUAACACGUGGAUAACCUACCUAUAAGACUGGGAUAACUUCGGGAAACCGUAGCUAAUACCGGAUAAUAUUUUGAACCGCAUGUUUCAAAAGUGAAAGACGGUCUUGCUGUCACUUAUAGAUGGAUCCGCGCUGCAUUAGCUAGUUGGUAAGGUAACGGCUUACCAAGGCAACGAUGCAUAGCCGACCUGAGAGGGUGAUCGGCCACACUGGAACUGAGACACGGUCCAGACUCCUACGGGAGGCAGCAGUAGGGAAUCUUCCGCAAUGGGCGAAAGCCUGACGGAGCAACGCCGCGUGAGUGAUGAAGGUCUUCGGAUCGUAAAACUCUGUUAUUAGGGAAGAACAUAUGUGUAAGUAACUGUGCACAUCUUGACGGUACCUAAUCAGAAAGCCACGGCUAACUACGUG
rnacentral:rRNA from 1 species